ensembl:snRNA U6 U6 spliceosomal RNA
GUGCUUCGGCAGCACAUAUACUAAAAUCGGAAUGAUACAGAGAAGAUUAGCAUGGCCCCUGAGCAAGGAUGACACGCAAAUUUGAGAAGUGUUCCAUAUUUUA